rnacentral:rRNA from 1 species
CAGUCGCCACGGGAAUAUGGAGGGAGCUAGCGUUGUUCGGAAUUACUGGGCGUAAAGCGCACGUAGGCGGCUUUGUAAGUUAGAGGUGAAAGCCUGGAGCUCAACUCCAGAAUUGCCUCUAAGACUGCAUCGCUUGAAUCCAGGAGAGGUGAGUGGAAUUCCGAGUGUAGAGGUGAAAUUCGUAGAUAUUCGGAAGAACACCAGUGGCGGAGGCGGCUCACUGGACUGGUAUUGACGCCGAGGUGCGAAAGCGUGGGGAGCAAACAGGAUUAGAUAUCCCAGUAGUCCCUGUCUCUUAUAA